ACUGUCGGCAUGAGCGUGACACCGCGCCGAAAAGCGCGGGCUACCUGUUGAAUGGUUAAGCAGUUGAACCGAUGUGCUAGGGAUAGGAGCUGGCAAUUGUUCCUGGUGAACGAGGAAUUCUUUGCAGAGGCGCGUGAU
rnacentral:rRNA from 1 species